UACGUAUGGGGCAAGCGUUAUCCGGAUUUACUGGGUGUAAAGGGAGCGUAGGCGGUACGGCAAGUCAGAAGUGAAAGCCUGGGGCUCAACCCCGGAAUUGCUUUUGAAACUGUCGAACUAGAGUGUCGGAGGGGUAAGCGGAAUUCCUAGUGUAGCGGUGAAAUGCGUAGAUAUUAGGAGGAACACCGGUGGCGAAGGCGGCUUACUGGACGACCACUGACGCUGAGGCUCGAAAGCGUGGGGAGCAA
rnacentral:rRNA from 1 species